rnacentral:rRNA from 1 species
AAAAACCUCAAUGACCUCCUGAGCAACCAAAAGGAGUGUGUUGCCAAGGAGGGAAUUGGGUUUGACCCCUCUUCUAAGAAGAAGAAGACCAAGAAGAAGAGCCACAAGAAGAAGAUCGGUCCUACUUCUCCUCCCCAACAAAAGAUAGCAUUUGUUCAUGAAGGACACAAGGAGAAGGAGAAGGAAAAAGGGAAUGUCGGGGAUGGCAAGGUUAUUAGGGACAAGGCCAUUCCCAAAGAGUUUGCCGGCAAGAACAACCCAUCUUAUGUCCUCAUGAGAGGAGAUGAUGGUCAUACCUUUGCUAAAUUUGUUGGCACUAACUAUGAUGAUUAUGCUUGGACUAUUUGGGUUCCUAAGACCCUUGUUGCUAACUCUCUAGGACCCAUUGCAAAAUGGGGACCUAAAAUCAAAGCUUGA